UCAAACUUGGUCAUUUAGAGGAAGUAAAAGUCGUAACAAGGUUUCCGUAGGUGAACCUGCGGAAGGAUCAUUGAAGAAUCUCCCGCGGUCGUCCGACCGUCGCUGGCCUCCACCGGGGCAUGUGCACGUCGGCGUCCGCUUUCCACCCCACACACAGUGCACCUUCGAGGGUCGGCCCCAUUUGGGACCCGAUCCCUCUUUUUCACCGCUAACGCGUGCAGCUUUGAAGUUUCCGAGAGCGCGAUCACGAUAACUCUUAACAACUUUCAACAAUGGAUCUCUUGGCUCUCGCAUCGAUGAAGAACGCAGC
rnacentral:misc_RNA from 1 species